ACUUUCUGGACCCACCCUAAUACUCUGGGGUUGUCUCCUGCCUGAUGGGCUGCCACCAAAGCUCUAAAACCCUCGCACACAAAGGCACCACAGGACUCCCACCCUCAACAUGAGCGCUCUGCCUGCCUCUGUCGCUGCCAGUCAGACCCGCUUCAGCUGGAAUCAAGAUCUUCAGAUUUAUGCAGUAGCCAUGUUUGUCAAAGUAUUUGGCACCAGUGACAUCAUCUUUGUUGAAAUGCCAGACAGCAUGAUGAGUCCCAGAUGUUAGCACACACCAAAAGUUGAGAAAGAAUGAAAUAUAAAGAUCAACUGUAACAGCUACGGAGGACUGUACUCAGUUUACUUCGGAUGUUGACACAUGAAGAAUAUGGGAUUUUUUCAAGGGUUUCUAAAGCUGUUAGGAUUUCCAGUGCCACGGCUGCGUUACGUGCGGUGAGCAAUAAAGGCUGCAUUUAGGACAA